rnacentral:rRNA from 1 species
UACGGGGGGGGCAAGCGUUGUUCGGAAUUACUGGGCGUAAAGGGCUCGUAGGCGGCCAACUAAGUCAGACGUGAAAUCCCCAGGCUCAACCUGGGAACUGCGUCUGAUACUGGAUGGCUUGAAUCCGGGAGAGGGAUGCAGAAUUCCAGGUGUAGCGGUGAAAUGCGUAGAUAUCUGGAGGAAUACCGGUGGCGAAGGCGGGUUGCUGGGCCAACACUGACGCUGAGGCGCGAAAGCGUGGGGAGCAAACAGG